rnacentral:rRNA from 1 species
UACAUAGGGGGCAAGCGUUGUCCGGAUUUAUUGGGCGUAAAGCGCGUGUAGGCGGCCAGGUAGGUCCGUUGUGAAAACUCGAGGCUCAACCUCGAGACGUCGACGGAAACCCUCUGGCUAGAGUCCGGAAGAGGAGAGUGGAAUUCCUGGUGUAGCGGUGAAAUGCGCAGAUAUCAGGAAGAACACCCGUGGCGAAGGCGGCUCUCUGGGACGGUACUGACGCUGAGACGCGAAAGCGUGGGGAGCGAACAGG